rnacentral:rRNA from 1 species
GGGGGGGGAGCGGUUGCNUCGGAANACUUGGGCGUNAAGGGCUCCGCAGGCGGUUUCUUAAGUCUGAUGUGAAAGCCCCCGGCUCAACCGGGGAGGGUCAUUGGAAACUGGGGAACUUGAGUGCAGAAGAGGAGAGUGGAAUUCCACGUGUAGCGGUGAAAUGCGUAGAGAUGUGGAGGAACACCAGUGGCGAAGGCGACUCUCUGGUCUGUAACUGACGCUGAGGAGCGAAAGCGUGGGGAGCGAACAGGAUUAGAUACCCCAGUAGUCAAA